ACUGACUUCGCUCGGACGCAAGCAUCGGACGUCCGAUAGAAUCCUUCAAACUCUUUGUCUGCUAUCGGACGGAAGUACCGGACGUCCGAUUGGAUUCUUCAAAGUCGACGAAAACUGUCGAACGCCCACAAAGACAAUACCGGACAUUCGAUAGAAUUGAGAUAUUCCUUCUAACUCAUUGUCUGCUUUCGGAUGCAAGCACCGGACGUUCGAUAGAAUUGAAGAAGAUUUUUCAAACUCACUGCCUGCUGUCGGACAUAUGUUUCGGAUGUACCGGACG
rnacentral:lncRNA from 1 species